rnacentral:lncRNA from 1 species
CUUUCUUGAAUGGAGGGGCCCAGAACUGGACAUAAUACUGCAGAUGCGGUCUCACCAGGGCAGAGUAGAGGGGGAGGAGAACCUCUUUCGACCUACUAACCACACUCCUUCUAACACACCCCAGGAUGCCGUUGGCCUUCUUGAAGUGCUGGCUUAUGGUCACCCUGGGCACGUUAGAAACACUGUGGCCAGCAGCUUGAGGGAGGUGAUCCAGGACACUUUCCUGCUCAACCUCCUGUAGGGAAUUGCUUUUAGCAGGGAGGUCGGUCUCGAUGAUCUCCAGAGGUCCCUUCCAGCCUCUAUGGUUCUGAGAUUGUAUGAGAAAGAAACUGCAAGAACCACGUGCUAAUUGCACGGGAUGGAUUUGGCAGAGGCAAUCCCUUUUCCACGGCAAAAGGAAGGUCUUAGCAGCACCUGUUCCAGUGCGUCACCACCCUCUGAGUGGUACCAAACAACUCUGUUUUCAAAAAGUGGAUUGGAAAGGUGUUUGGUGCUACCCUCUAGCUUUAAACUGGUAGUUGUAAUUUAAAUAUUUCAUACUUUUCCUAUUUACCUACUUGGACUGAAAUUUUCCUUGUCAUUAUCCAUCCCAUGCUUUACUUUUUUUCUUUGGAAAGCCUUGGCUAGCACAGCUUCAGUUAUUUCUGAGCAUAAGGUAAAGGAAAAUAUCAUUAUGCACUUUCAGAUGACUGGACGCCAUCACUGUGCUGCAGCUGGAUCACAAAAAGGGCAGAAAAGGCUUAUGUCUGUACUACCUUUGUGAGAGCUUUCCAAAAUAUGCCAGGUUAUCAGGUAUCAUCUACUUUGUAAAGACCUGAAGGUUAAUUUUCCUAAUUUUCCUUGACUGAGGUUCUCCAGUCCGGAUCCUUGAAGCGGUAAGUAGGACUUCCUCUCUGAAUACAUCUCUGACACACUGGAGGUAGCAGAACUGAGAAAAGGAAGGGUACUUUCCUCCAUUCCCUCAAAUAAGUACAAACCACAAGACCCUUAACUCCUCGCAGGUCCUUUGCCUGGCUCUGCUCACCUCCUUCGGCUUGGAUGAGAUGAAGGCUCUUGGGAGGUCUCUGCUCUGUCUUGCCCUGCUGCUCACCACCAUCAAGCCACUUAACCAAAUUUUUCAUAAAAGCCAGUCAUUCUGUCUAAUUUUAUAUGGGUUGAAUAUGGGAAAAGAGCUUAAGCUUCCCAUUUGCAAUUAAAGACUCUGGGUGCCAAGCUUCAAAAAAAGUUGAAAUACAGCAUGAAAUACUUCACCAUAUCAGUUUCUACAGGAUGCUCAUCUAAAAGCAGUGUCAAAAUUUAUACCUUGGUGCCACUAUGUAAUGCAGAAAUUCAAAUUUCAAGCAUAUUUUUUACAAAUAGAGGAUUGUUUUUGUUUUGUUUUGUUUUGUUUUCAGGCAGUGAUAAGCACUAGAAAAAGUAAUGAUUUACAUUUCAGUGCCCAAGAUUUCAAAUUAAAGGAAUUUGAAGUAAUGGGAUGUAAGGAAAUACUCAAAGAUGAGGGUGAGAAAAGAAGGUUCAGAGUAGAAGCAGAAAAAGGAUCAUGUAAUUAAAACUUUAUCAGCAUGCACUCAUAGUAAGCUACAGUUUCACCAUUAGCCUAAAUUAUAGCCCUUCUUCAGCUCAUACCUCAUACCUCAUACAAAUAACAUUUUUAGGUGUUUUGACUACAGUACAUGCAACACUCUACAUGUAUACCUUGCAGAAUGUGCAGCAUCUAGUUUGGUGUUGAUUUUUGCUUGAAAAUACAGUUUCUUUGAAAAAAAAAAAAAAUCAGUAUGUUUCUGUCUUAGUUUUUCAUUACUCUUUCUAGAUGAAAAAAAAAAAGAGCCAGGUUUCAUGCAGGACACAAACCAUUCUUAGUUUAAUUGCGCAUGGCCCCCAAAUUCCUGGGCUCAUAUCUGAAGAUCAGAUCAAAGACCACUCGCUUGGCACAAUUCCACCACCAUUUCAAUAAAACG